rnacentral:rRNA from 1 species
GCUAAGCCCUAAACAUUGAUAGCCAUUGUACAAAGCUAUCCGCCAGAGAACUACAAGUGAAAAACUUAAAACUCAAAGGACUUGACGGUGUCCCAUAUCAACCUAGAGGAGCCUGUCCUAUAAUCGAUACCCCUCGCUCCACCCUACCUUAGCUAGCAAAAUUCAGCCUAUAUACCGCCGUCGACCAGCCUACCCUAUGAAGGUCUAAUAGUAGACAUAAUAGUCACACCACUAGUACGUCAGGUCAAGGUGUAGCAAAUGUUAAGGAAGUGAUUGGCUACAUUUUUUAUUAUAAAAAAUACGGAAUGUACUAUGAAACCGUUCAUGAAGGUGAAUUUAGUAGUAAAACAGAUAAGAGUGUCUGCUUUAACAAUGCUCUGGGACGUGUACACACCGCCCGUCACCCUCCUUAACUAACUAUUUUAAUUUUUUUAUAAACCAAAAAUAAUACACUAAAGGAGGU